GCGACCCCAGGUCAGGCGGGAUUUACCCCGCUGAGUUUUAAGCAUAUU
rnacentral:rRNA from 1 species